GUGUAAAUAGGCUAAGAUUUAUGCCUUUUGGUUGUUGCCCAGAGAGUGAGAAAAUGAUUCUCUUUACACU
rnacentral:tRNA from 1 species